rnacentral:tRNA from 9 species
AUAAGAAUUACAAGACUCUAU